rnacentral:rRNA from 1 species
UAGGGAAUCUUCCGCAAUGGGCGAAAGCCUGACGGAGCAACGCCGCGUGAGUGAUGAAGGUUUUCGGAUCGUAAAACUCUGUUAUUAGGGAAGAACAAAUGCGUAAGUAACUGUGCGCAUCUUGACGGUACCUAAUCAGAAAGCCACGGCUAACUACGU